rnacentral:rRNA from 1 species
UACGUAGGGUCCGAGCGUUGUCCGGAAUUAUUGGGCGUAAAGGGCUCGUAGGCGGUCUGUUGCGUCGGGAGUGAAAACUUACAGCUUAACUGUGAGCGUGCUUCCGAUACGGGCAGACUUGAGGUAUUCAGGGGAGAACGGAAUUCCUGGUGUAGCGGUGAAAUGCGCAGAUAUCAGGAGGAACACCGGUGGCGAAGGCGGCAUCCUGGACCAAUACUGACACUGGAAAAGCGAAAGCCAGGGGAGCAAACGGG